AAAAAUGAUGAUCUUUUUGCGCAAAUAUAAAUUUCGUACUACCACGUAGAAUGAUGAUAGUGGAUGUCAUCCUUGAACUGAUUUUUUUUUU
rfam:Plasmodium ovale wallikeri genome assembly, contig: contig155